rnacentral:lncRNA from 1 species
UGAUCACGCCACUGCAUGCCAGCCUGAGUGACCGAGCAACAGAGUGAGACACCAUCUCUUACAGAAAGGAAAAAAAAAAAAAAAAAAGCGGGGGGAGGGAGAGAGAGAUACACAUUAGUCUAAAGUGGAUUUUGUUGGGUCUUCUUAUCUAAGCUGGAAAUACAUUAUGCAUAAUUCACUUUCCUGCAGCGUUCUGGAUUAGAGUCAGCCACCAGAGGCGUGCAUGCAUUACGAUUUGGAAGGCAGAAGUACACCGGCACUUAUUUUCCUGUCACACUCGAAUGCUGGUGCGAGGCACCAGGCAUACUGCGGCUGUUCAAGCAUAUUGACGCCGAUAUUCUGACUCCUUGUGGAAAUGGAGCCGCAUCCUGCCUUGCAGAGCAUCAGCCAGAUCUUGUUUUUUUACUUUCUCGGAAUCAUGCAGGCAGGUGCGGCUGCUGGAGCAGGGAAUGGGCCUGCCGUUUAUUUAGCCCCUAUCAGCUUCCUAGCUCCAGCUGCUCUAAUUGCAGGGCUAGGCGUAUGUUUAGCUCUAUGGCAAGAGCCUCCAGCUUCUCCUGCAUAUCUCAAACCUCAUCAAAAGCUGGCAGCUUGGAGGUAGUGAGACACAGAGGAGAGAUCCAGUUCAUCAAGAAUUGUAAGGAAACUGGAUAUCUUGGCUGCUGGAAAGAGGAUAUUUGAGGAGGUAAUUUUUAUCCCCAUCUGUAUCAACAUUGGCUUCAUUUUUCUUCUAUAGCAAGAUUUCUACAUAAUAUGAUGAGACUCAUUGAAAGUAAGAAGGUGAAAAAAAAUUCAUAGAAACAAACACUGUAGAACUUGAUAUCACCAUCUCAA